rnacentral:rRNA from 1 species
AGUGAACGCUGGCGGUAGGCCUAACACAUGCAAGUCGAACGGCAGCACAGUAGGAGCUUGCUCUUACGGGUGGCGAGUGGCGGACGGGUGAGGAAUACAUCGGAAUCUACUUUUUCGUGGGGGAUAACGUAGGGAAACUUACGCUAAUACCGCAUACGACCUGCGGGUGAAAGCAGGGGAUCUUCGGACCUUGCGCGAUUGAAUGAGCCGAUGUCGGAUUAGCUAGUUGGCGGGGUAAAGGCCCACCAAGGCGACGAUCCGUAGCUGGCCUGAGAGGAUGAUCAGCCACACUGGAACUGAGACACGGUCCAGACUCCUACGGGAGGCAGCAGUGGGGAAUAUUGGACAAUGGGCGCAAGCCUGAUCCAGCCAUACCGCGUGGGUGAAGAAGGCCUUCGGGUUGUAAAGCCCUUUUGUUGGGAAAGAAAAGCAGCAGGUUAAUACCCCGCUGUUCUGACGGUACCCAAAGAAUAAGCACCGGCUAACUUCGUG